rnacentral:rRNA from 1 species
AUUGAACGCUGGCGGCAGGCCUAACACAUGCAAGUCGAGCGGAUGAGGGUAGCUUGCUACCUGAUUCAGCGGCGGACGGGUGAGUAAUGCCUAGGAAUCUGCCCGAUAGUGGGGGACAACGUUUCGAAAGGAACGCUAAUACCGCAUACGUCCUACGGGAGAAAGCGGGGGAUCUUCGGACCUCACGCUAUCGGAUGAGCCUAGGUCGGAUUAGCUAGUUGGUGAGGUAAUGGCUCACCAAGGCUACGAUCCGUAACUGGUCUGAGAGGAUGAUCAGUCACACUGGAACUGAGACACGGUCCAGACUCCUACGGGAGGCAGCAGUGGGGAAUAUUGGACAAUGGGCGAAAGCCUGAUCCAGCCAUGCCGCGUGUGUGAAGAAGGUCUUCGGAUUGUAAAGCACUUUAAGUUGGGAGGAAGGGCUGUAGGCUAAUAUCCUGCAGUUUUGACGUUACCAACAGAAUAAGCACCGACUAACUUCGUGCCAGCCGCCGCCGUAA